UAAGCGGAGGAAAAGAAACCAACAGGGAUUGCCCUAGUAACGGCGAGUGAAGCGGCAACAGCUCAAAUUUGAAAUCUGGCUACAUUCCGUAGUCCGAGUUGUAAUUUGUAGAGGAUGCUUUUGGUGAGGUGCCUUCCGAGUUCCCUGGAACGGGACGCCAUAGAGGGUGAGAGCCCCGUACGGUUGGACACCAAACCUCUGUAUAGCUCCUUCAACGAGUCGAGUAGUUUGGGAAUGCUGCUCUAAAUGGGAGGUAUAUCUCUUCUAAAGCUAAAUAUAGGCUAGAGACCGAUAGCGCACAAGUAGAGUGAUCGAAAGAUGAAAAGCACUUUGAAAAGAGAGUUAAACAGCACGUGAAAUUGUUGAAAGGGAAGCGCCUAUGACCAGACUUGUUUCUGGCAGUUUCGUUAGCCCUCGGGCUGAUUUACUCUGUCCAGUACAGGCCAGCAUCAGUUUGCUGUCGGGGAGAAAGGCUCUGGGAACGUAGCUCCCCCCUUCUGGGGGGGAGUGUUAUAGCCCUCUGCAUAAUACCCUUCGGCAGACUGAGGACCGCGCUUCGGCAAGGAUGCUGGCGUAAUGGUCAUCAGCGACCCGUCUUGAAACACGGACCAAGGAGUCAACCUUAUGUGCGAGUGUUUGGGUGUAAAACCCCAGCGCGUAAUGAAAGUGAACGUAGGUGAGAGCUUCGGCGCAUCAUCGACCGAUUCUGAUGUUUUCGGAUGGAUUUGAGUAAGAGCACACAGGGUUGGACCCGAAAGAAGGUGAACUAUGCUUGUAUAGGGUGAAGCCAGAGGAAACUCUGGUGGAGGCUCGCAGCGGUUCUGACGUGCAAAUCGAUCGUCAAAUAUGAGCAUGGGGGCGAAAG
rnacentral:rRNA from 1 species